UUGGAGGGCAAGUCUGGUGCCAGCAGCCGCGGUAAUUCCAGCUCCAAUAGCGUAUAUUAAAGUUGUUGCAGUUAAAAAGCUCGUAGUUGAAUUUCGGGAUUAGUACGCUGGUCGUGCCUUCGGUACGUACUGGUGUUACUGAUUUCUACCUUCUGACGAACCAUCAUGUCAUUAAUUUGGUGUGGUGGGGAAUCAGGACUGUUACUUUGAAAAAAUUAGAGUGUUUAAAGCAGGCUCGCGCUUGAAUACAUUAGCAUGGAAUAAUGAAAUAGGACGUUGAUCCUAUUUUGUUGGUUUCUAGGAUUGACGUAAUGAUUAAUAGGGAUAGUUGGGGGCAUUAGUAUUCAAUUGUCAGAGGUGAAAUUUUUGGAUUUAUUGAAGACUAACUACUGCGAAAGCAUUUGCCAAGGAUGUUUUCAUUAAUCAAGAACGAAAGUUAGGGGAUCGAAGACGAUCAGAUACCGUCGUAGUCUUAACCAUAAACUAUGCCGACUAGGGAUCGGAUGAUGUUAUUUUUAAUGACUCAUUCGGCGCCUUACGGGAAAC
rnacentral:rRNA from 1 species